UACGGAGGAUGCAAGCGUUAUCCGGAUUUAUUGGGUUUAAAGGGUGCGUAGGCGGGACUGUAAGUCAGGGGUGAAAUACUGCAGCUUAACUGUAACAGUGCCGUUGAUACUGGGGAGCUAGGAUUUGGUUGCUGUGGGUGGAAUGUGUGGUGUAGCGGUGAAAUGCUUAGAGAUCACACAGAAUAUCGAUUGCGAAGGCAGCUCACAAAGCCAAGAUUGACGCUGAGGCACGAAAGUGUGGGGAUCAAACAGGA
rnacentral:rRNA from 1 species